GUGCAACGCCGACUUUCUAGGCAUGACAUAGACGUAGUGCAUCGCUCUGCGCGUCUAGGAAAAUUCCCAUCAAUUUUUCCUUUCGAACGGAAUCGAUAAAAUUUCUCAUUUUUAACGGUAUAUCAAUCCAACAGAUUCAGUAAAUUCAAAAAUGUGCGUGUGUGUGUCGAUGUAAUGAAUUUUUCAAAUUUCAUCUCCUGGAAGUGUAUCCGGAUAAUUAAAUAAUUUUCACUGCAAAUGCUGAUUAAAUGAAAAUAAUACGAAUAAUCGUUGAAAGCAAUUGAAAACACUCGUUUUCCCGCUAAUUAAAAAAUCCUCUGGUCAUCCCUGAAUUUUUUAUCCAACGGUUUCCACUUCACUCUUGUUUUGAUAAUUUUUUUGAUGCUCCAGAUACAUAUGAAAUUCAAAUCCAACUCCUGUUAGUCCGCUGAGGAUCGGAAUUUUAUUUAUUUUUGUUUUGAUCCUUUCUCAAUUUUCACUUCCUUCUCUUUUUCUCCUCGAACGGGAUAGACGGGUGUCCCACUUACGAAACAUUUCGUCUUGUCGGCUAAAUUUCUUCUCAAUUAUUUUUGACUUGAGAAAUAAGAUAAAAGGGGUAUUGGAAUACUUGUCGGAGUAAAUGGUUCGCUGAUAAAAUCUCAAUGAUAGUCUUUUUCCAAUGGAAAUAAUUUUGAAUUUAUGAUGUGCCUCGAGACUGUGUGUGAAAAAAUAACUUGUUCAUCAAUCCGAAAGUUUAUAAUUACGAAGAAAGUGGUGAUGGAAUAGAGAGCUGAGUGUGCCCAUUGGAUUAUAAAUACACAGAUUUCAUCUUCCUUUUGUUAAUUUCUCGGACCAGAUGAGGACAAGGGUGGAUCGGAAGCACCCUAGAUAAAACCUAGUUUAUGAAGCCGUAAAUCCCAGUUCCAACCCAGAUGCUGGAAAAUUAUAAGUGAAUUUUUAUUACGGUUUAUUGUUGUGAAAAUGUAAGGAGUGGGUGUUCAACUGCACUUUAGUUAUUCAUCCCGCCAAUAAUUCAGUUCGAAAUUUGAAUUACCCCAGAAUAAAUAAAUAUCACCCACAUUGAAUAAUAUAUUCUAUUUUUUGACUUCCAUCUAUUCACUGACGAAAAAAUAAGGGAAUAAAAAUAAAUAAAUGAAAGUCCAUUUUUUUUCCAUUGUUAAAAUUUAUUUCAGAACCUUAAAAACCUCUGGAGUGCUAACUGGUAGUUUCGAUCAAUUGAAGACGAAGGCUAUCCCGAGAAGACUCUCGCAUCAUGA